rnacentral:rRNA from 1 species
ACCCGCACAAGCGGUGGAUGAUGUGGAUUAAUUCGAUGCAACGACGAAAACCUUACCUACCCUUGACAUGCCUGGAACCCUGGAGAGAUCUGGGGGUGCCCGGAAAGGGAGCCGGGACACAGGUGCUGCAUGGCUGUCGUCAGCUCGUGUCGUGAGAUGUUGGGUUAAGUCCCGCAACGAGCGCAACCCUUGUCACUAGUUGCUACGCGAGGGCACUCUAGUGAGACUGCCGGUGACAAACCGGAGGAAGGUGGGGAUGACGUCAAGUCCUCAUGGCCCUUAUGGGUAGGGCUUCACACGUCAUACAAUGGUCGGUACAGAGGGUUGCCAAGCCGCGAGGUGGAGCCAAUCCCAGAAAGCCGAUCGUAGUCCGGAUUGCAGUCUGCAACUCGACUGCAUGAAGUCGGAAUCGCUAGUAAUCGCGGAUCAGCAUGUCGCGGUGAAUACGUUCCCGGGUCUU